rnacentral:rRNA from 1 species
UACGAAGGGGGCUAGCGUUGCUCGGAAUCACUGGGCGUAAAGCGCACGUAGGCGGAUUGCUAAGUCAGGGGUGAAAUCCUGGAGCUCAACUCCAGAACUGCCCUUGAUACUGGCGGUCUCGAGUCCGGGAGAGGUGAGUGGAACUGCGAGUGUAGAGGUGAAAUUCGUAGAUAUUCGCAAGAACACCAGUGGCGAAGGCGGCUUACUGGUCCGGUUCUGACGCUGAGGCGCGAAAGCCAGGGGAGCAAACGGG